AGAGAGAUCACACAUUAGUUCUUGUAAUUACUAAUAGACAUGUGAUAAACACAAAGAGCUCUGACUGGAGAUAACUUACACCGAUACUAAAACAUUAGGAUUGCGCAAGUACGUGGAUUCAGCAAGUGUCAAGUUCAGAUAACGUUCACAACAAGCCAGCUGGCAUUAUGUUGUUACAGCUGAUUUGUGCAUGUAAAUCCUGCAUCUUCACAUAGUUCAAUGGCAUAAGAUGCCUGAAAUUUAACACAGAUGGGAGCACAGGUUGCUAAUGUUAGCAUGUACAGCACCACUAAUGGCUGUAGUAGUUAUGUGAUAACUUGAUAGCGUGAUGUUGUGAAGGAAUUGUGAGUGUCCGUGUGUUUCUAUCUCCAUCUGACAAAUGGCUAAUAACAAUUUGAUUAUUCCAAGAUCGCCACAGCUGAAGACGGCUGAUCAGAAAUGUCCCAUCAUGUCUGUUUACAUGAACGCAACAGACGACAUCCAGUGACAUACGAGGGUCUUGAAGCGUCAGAUUUCCUAAAAGCUAGAGGAGGCUCCAUCGACACGUCGCUCAUCACGGUCACACAGCUGUGAUCAGAUUCAGGUGCAGGUGGAGAGAAGACGCUGUGACAUGAUGAUCUCACGCUCAGUGAAGUGAAACUAAACUCAACUCCGCCGGGGGACGGGAAGUGACGUCACGUCGUCAGGGCAACAACAGGAAGCAGGACUGAC